rnacentral:ribozyme from 1 species
UGCAACAACCAUUUCGUACAUGAGGGAAUGAAAACAAGAAGAGGUGGGGUGACAAACUUAAAGAAUUUUAACACUAUAGUAGAUAUCUGAGCUUGGGUAUACGGGGAAACCCAACCCCUUGGGAGGAUGGAAGACAUGGCUAAUUUGAGAGGA